rnacentral:rRNA from 1 species
CCUACGGGAGGCAGCAGUAGGGAAUCUUUCACAAUGGGCGAAAGCCUGAUGGAGCAACGCCGCGUGCAGGAUGAAGGCCUUCGGGUUGUAAACUGCUUUUAUAAGCGAGAAAUAUGAUGGUAACUUAUGAAUAAGGAUCGGCGAACUACGUGCCAGCAGCCGCGGUCAUACGUAGGAUCCGAGCAUUAUCCGGAGUGACUGGGUGUAAAGAGUUGCGUAGGUGGCAUAAUAAGUAGCUAGUGAAAUCUGGUGGCUCAACCAUUCAGACUAUUAGCUAAACUGUUAAGCUCGAGACCGUUAGGGGUAACUGGAAUUUCUAGUGUAGGAGUGAAAUCCGUAGAUAUUAGAAGGAACACCAAUAGCGUAGGCAGGUUGCUGGGACGGUUCUGACACUAAGGCACGAAAGCGUAGGGAGCAAACGGGAUUAGAUACCCCUGUAGUC